UACAGAGACUGCAAGCGUUGUUCGGAUUUACUGGGCGUAAAGGGCGCGUAGGCGGCAAAUUAAGUCAGCUGUGAAAUCUCCGAGCUUAACUCGGAACUGUCAGCUGAUACUGAUGUGCUAGAGUGCGGAAGGGGCAAUCGGAAUUCUUGGUGUAGCGGUGAAAUGCGUAGAUAUCAAGAGGAACACCUGAGGUGAAGACGGGUUGCUGGGCCGACACCGACGCUGAGUGCGCGAAAGCCAGGGGAGCAAACGGG
rnacentral:rRNA from 1 species